AGUAUAAGAGUUUCUUCAUCUCCAAAUCAGUUUCUUGAACCAGUGCUUUGUAGAUAUUUUGAUUGCCGUCGCUAUCCUUAGCUUCAAUUAUGAGCCAGUAGAGAGUGGCUAAUUCAACGGGUUUCUUUAAGCCGGCAACCACUGCCACAAACACCAGCUUGUCUCCGGUCUGCUUGUUGUGCUCAUCCACUGCAAAUCUUCCGAGCUCUUGAAUGUGAGGGUCUGCAGGGUUCACUGGAGUCCAGCCACCAUGCACAAUUAAUUUGGUCUGCAAGGUGUAAAACAAAAAGCUUCAGAAUAAUUUUAGAUCCGAAUAAUCCGAACACUUGGCAGAAACUCAAUCAAACAAAAUUAAGAAGCAAAUCUUCCUCUCCCAUAAGAAAAAGGGUAAAAGACUGACAAGCAGAGAUUGAAAGUUUAGGAGUUACAAUUAUAGAACCUCGUAACAAGGUUGAAGGAAUUUUAAUGUAAUUCAGCAAUAUCCUAGAAUCUAGUCAAAACAAUAGACAAAACAGUCAAGGUAAAUUAGAUCUAGGAGUAUCAUUUAGUUCACCUCUCCAGCUUGCUUCAGUAUGGCAUCGACUUCGGCAGACUGGAAUUGCUUGAUUGAUAUCCAUUAAGAAACGAGCAUUUCAGUAUGAAGAAAAUAUAAAUGCUGAAUAUUAGGAAAAUAGAUAUAAAUGCAUGGAUGCAAAAGGCAGAGACUGAAACUUACUGUAGUUGUUUGCCAAUUCCUUUUUUUGGCACUUGGCUGUCACAGGCAUUGGAAAGUUGGCUACCACCGUAGCCAUAUUUUUACGCAAAGAGUAAGGAGAACAGAUUAUUGCUCUUGGUUGAGAUAGGCGAAGCUCGGUUGCUGAGUAUGAAUGUAGGAAAGAAUUGAACAAACUCCCAGAAUUUAUAGGCGAUGUUGUGGACCUAAAUGUCCUCUAUGCCCUUCGUGAGAAAUUGGGAAUUAAUACUUCCAAAAUCAUUAAUUAUUUCUGCUUUUAGCUUUAGGAAAAUUUAGAACUUUGAUUGCAUUUGAGUUUGAUACAGAACAAGGAACUCCUGGUUUUUCAAUCUACCAUUGUGUGUCACUUUCUCUAUUUCCAUUCAAGUGAUUAAUAUAUAUGUAUUUGAUGAUAUUAUUGUCAACAUUCACUAAGCCAAUGAUAAGAGUGCUUCUUUUUUAACCGUAUUAUAUAUGUUACUAUUUUAGGGAACGGAGGAAAAGGAUAUUGUUGCAAUGGUAGAGAAGGUUUUUCUGGUGACUUCAUGUUCUAAAACAUGUUCCGUGUAUAUUGUAAAAUGCAUUUCUAGCUGCCUGUGUGUCUAUGUGCGCGAGUUUUUACAAGUCUAUAUAAACAUAUAGUUAUAUGGGACUAAAAUAAUUAAUCAUUGGCCAACCCGCAAAACUAGGGCUUAUGAAUUGAAAUUUGAGUCACAAAUUUAGGUCUACCGAUCCCGUGCAUAUCAUCAUUAUCGGUGUCAUUCUUUUGCCAACAAUUAGUUGGAUAAAGCAAUGUACAGUGUAUGCAAAUUUUUUAUCGUCCACGUCUUGAGGUUCCUCGGUAUCUAAAGCACAAAGCCCCUUUUCGAGACGGGCAUUCACUUUGGAAUCAUAUCCCUCUUGUGAAAUGGACAUUCACUUAGGAAUCAAAACAUUGAAGUAUGAGUAAUAAAUUUUGGUCUACUGUUCCAGUGCAUGUCAUCAUUAUAGGUGUCAUUCUUUUGCCAAAACGGGAAUUCACUUGGGAAUCAUAUCCCGCCUGUGAAAUGGACAUUCAGUCAGGAAUCAUAUCACAAUUUUAGCAAAAACCAGGGAAUUUCCAGAUGAGAGGUAUAUGCCAAAGCAAGAAUCUUUAUCCUGUUCCCGGUUGAAGCUCGCCCUGUUUGUCGCUUAUCCCAAGAUGCCCUAUCCAUUGGCUUUAAAAAAGGGCAUGGUACAUUUCCUUGCGGCAUGUCUUUAGUAUGAACUGAUUCUUUUUUUAUGGUAAAUAACUCUUCCUUUCGUGUUUCUCAAUCAUUGAGUAGUUCCCAUAUUUCUUUUUCUCGAUUUUUCAGCCUAAACAAUUCUGUUUGCUGUAUUCUUUUUAAAACAAACGAUAACAUUUUAUAAAUAUUAACACUUAAAAGUACAAGAGUUAAUUACAAAAAGGGGUAACUAUCCCCAUAUCUUUUCUAGCUAGAACAGUUAACCAUGUUGGAAAUGAAGCUUCCCAAUCAAUGGUUUUAACCACCUUGGUUGCAAAUUGAGCCAUUGCAUGACUACAGCCAUUCAAGAAAAUACAACUGUCAAAGCUAGUCUUUAGGGCCUCAAUGUCUUCUAGGAUUGUUUGUAACUUAAAAUCCUGAACAUUGCCCGCAUUGAUCGAGCUCACAACGUUUCUGCAGUCCGACUGGACAUCUAUCUUUGUCCAUCCUAUAGCUUGAGCCAUUUCCAGCGCACUUCGGAUUGCUAAUGAUUCCUCCGUGGCAGCUUCCCCUCUUUUCCUUCUACUAAUCCCUCGAACUUUCACUAGAUCUCCUCGCCAGUUCCGUGCAACAAUUCCCAAUCCAGUCCUGACCAUUUUUACUGAGAUUGCUGCGUCCGUAUUAAUUCUCACUUCUCCCUUCUGUGGUGGCUCCCAAAUAUGCUGAAUCAGUCUUUCCUGCUCUAAUGAUGCAAGUACUUGGUGUUGAGAACCAGUUGCCUCUUCAAAUUCGAUCCACUCUUGCUGGGCUUUGUCAAUUAUCACUUUUGCAUCCACGCUCUCCAACUGGAAUACUCUCUUGUUUCUCGCCUGCCAGAGCUGCCAAAGGAUAUUUACUGUGAGCUUGAUGCGGUCCAUUCCUUGUGCACCCUUUGCCGAGUCCAUCACAGCAUCCCACCACCUCCACUUGUUGCAUUGUAGCUCAACUAUCCCUUCCCAGCUCACCGGAGCUAGCCUCCAAGCCACUUGAGCUGUUGGACAAAAAAAGAAUACAUGUUCAAUGGUUUCAGUAGCCUCACCACAACAUUGGCACAGGUUGCUUCCUUUCCCAACUCUUUGGGAGAGAGCUUCACUAGUAGCCAGCCCAUUUUGCAAACACCUCCAUAAAAAAUGCUUGAGCUUCAUUUUGAUAUUUAAGCCCCACAAUCUUUUCCACAUUGUGUGCUUCCUAAUUGCCCAGCUAGUCUUCGAGUCAGGUGCUGCCCUGUGGUUCAUAGUAUCCCUUCCCCUUUUGGCGAUAACGUAGCCUGUUCUGACUGUAUAUACACCAGACCUGCUAUGCAACCAAUACAAUCUGUCUUUCCUGUCAUAUAGACUAAGAGGGAUGUUAGUUAUGAGUUCCACAUCAUCUAUGUUAAACCAGUGAUGCGAAGUAUCAGUCUUCCACCUCCCCUCCUCUAUUAGUUCAUGGACACACCCAAGUUGACACCCUGCUGGUUUUGCCGUAGUUAAUUUCCCAUUGCACGAUCUAGCUACCCAUCUGUCUUUCCAGAUUUUAAUUGACCUUCCAUCUCCCACCCUCUUGUAUAAGCCCUGCUGAAGCAGCUCACCUCCCUUGUGCAAACUUUUCCAGCACCAAGAUGCUGUGCUCAGGGGCUUUUGAACAAGCCAGUCAUUCUCCUUCAUGUACUUAGCUUUCAGGACCUUGCUUACUAACAAAUUCAGAUUUGUGACAACUCUCCAAAUUUGUUUUGCAAGCAAGGCUACAUUGAAAGCUUCUAAAUCUCUAAAGCCCAACCCCCCUUUCCCUUUAACUUCAGUAAGUUUACUCCACCUCACCCAAUGCACUUUGUUCUCUAGACCCCCCCGUCCCACCAGAACCUGGCAAUAGUUGCACUAAUAUCCUUGCACAAGCCUUUAGGGAGCUUAAAACAAGACAUUAUAUAGGUAGGCAUGGCCAUAAUGACAGAUUUGAUUAGGAUUUCCUUACCCCCUUGACUAAGCAAUUUAUGUUUCCAUCCUUGGAGUUUGCUAAUGAUGGUACUUUUCAGGAACCCAAAAACCUGAUUCUUAGCUCUCCCAAUAGUCAUAGGUAAUCCUAAAUAUUUCCCACUAGAAGCUUCCCUCAUAUUACCCAAAACCUCGUUAAUCUCUCCUCUAAUCCUGUUGGGGGUAUUUUUAGUAAAGAACAUGGCUGAUUUGUCAAAGUUUACUACCUGUCCCGUGGCUUGUCCAUAUGUCUAAAUGAUCUCCUUUACCUUCUUUGACUCCUCCUUGCUUGAUUUGCAACAGAAAAGAGAAUCGUCUGCAAAAAAGAGAUGAGAGAUCAUAGGGCUGUCUUUGCAGAGUUUGAUGCCCGUUAGUUGCUUAGAAUCCACAGCUUUCUUGAUUAAAUUGGACAACCCUUCCGUGCAUAUAAUGAACAAGUAGGGGGAUAGGGGAUCCCCUUGACGGAGUCCUCUAGAUGGUUUGAUAUAGCCCACCUUUUGUCCAUGCAAGUUAAAAGAAUAAGAAAUAGUGGAGAUACACUUCAUGAUCCAGCGAACAAAAGUAGGACAAAAGCCCAUAUGUAACAUUAUUCUGCCUAGAAAUUUCCACUCCACUCUAUCAUAGGCUUUAGACAUAUCAAGCUUUAAAGCCAUAAAGCCUACUCUACCAUCUCUCUUAUUUUUUAGAAAAUGCAAGACUUCAUGAGCGAUGACAGCAUUGUCAAGAAUUUGACGCCCAGGGACAAAAGCAGAUUGAGACAGAUUAAUACAUUGCACUAGGACUUUUUUCAUUCUAUUAGCCAAAAUAUUGGAAAUAAUUUUAUAAAUGACAGUGCAAAGGCUUAUAGGCCUGUAAUUGGUAAGCACAACAGGAUUUUCAACCUUAGGGAUAAGGGAAAUAAUGGUCUCAUUGAUAGCCGUUAAGAUAUUACCAGAAUGGAAAAAACUUGUAACAGCAUUGACAAUAUCAUUUUUGAUAAUAUGCCAGUAUGUUUGGAAAAAUAAAGGGGGGCAUACCAUCAACUCCAGGAGCUUUAUUUGGGAACAUGGAAAAUAUGGCUUGUUUGAUCUCCAAUUCUGUCACUGGCUUGAUCAACUGUGUGUUCAUGAGAUUAGAAAUAGUGCACGGUAUGCCUUGCAACACUUCUUCAAAUUCAGAUGGAUUACUUGAGUUGAACAGCUCCGCAUGGUGCUCGCUUAACUCAGCUUUGAUUUCCUCUGCACUCGUACACCACUCCUCAUUAGCCUUCUGGAGUAUACUGAUAUUGUUCCAUUUCCUAGUAGCCAUGACACUUAGGUGAAAGUAGGCUAUAUUCUUGUCCCCCUCCUUGAGCCAUCUGCUCCUUGAUUUCUAGCUCCACAACAGCUCUUCAUCCUUGUAAGCUUUGCUUAGUUGUAGCUUCAAGGUUGUGAUAACUUCUUUUUUGCACGGCUCAUUUCCCUGACGGACAGACCUUAGUUUCUCCUUCAGCUCCUGAAUUUUUGCCUUUGUGUUGCCUUUAACUGACUUGUUCCAUUGAAUCAGAGCAACUCUACAUUCCUUAAUCCUUUUCACCACUCUGAACAUUCUAGACCCAUUUUGUUCCAGUCCCCAAGCUCUUUUAAUAACCGCUAUUGGUGCCUCAUCCUUAGCCUAUCUUUGGUCGAAAAAGAACCUUCUUUUGACCCUCCUUUGCUUCGGUUUUGUGUCCAUCAGUAGCAGGUAGUGAUCAGAAGCCUCUAUUUCAAUGUGUUCCACAGCAGUAUUCUCAUACUUUUGCACCCACCCAACACUUCCUAAGCAUCGAUCUAGUCUCUCUCUUAUUUCUCCCUCCACUUCCUAUGUGUUACUUCAUGUCCAAGGCACCCCCUUACAGCCUAUAUCCACUAGCUCAUUUUCAGAAAUAAAGCUACUGAACUCCCUAAAACUACCCUCUGAUCUCUCUCUUCCCCCCCAUUUCUCCCCGUUUGAGCAAAUGUUGUUAAAGUCUCCCACUACUACCCAUUUCUCACCCCAUGCCCUCUUUUUCUCCCCUAUUGUCUCCCAUUGCUGCAUUCUCACCCUCUCAUCUAUACUUGUGUAUAUACCUACCAGCCACCAAUAAUCAUUCGUCUCCUUGUCUUCCACUCUUGCUACAAUAUACCAAUUAGUGCUGUGUAUAUCCAAUAAUUGUACCCCCUCCUUCCAAAACAAAGCUAGUCCCCCUGCUCUACCCUUAGGAUUCACUACAAAACUAUGUUCAAACUUAAUUCUUUUUUGCACCUAUUUCAAAUAACUUUCUUUGUUUUUUGUCUCACAUAAGAACACCACACUAGGAGAGUGGAGGUGAAUUACCUCCUUCAGUUGGGGAAUUGUCAAGGGGCCUCCUGCACCUCGGCAAUUCCACACUGCUACCUUCAUUGUGUUGGUGGAGGUAUUGCGAGGCUAGCCUCCAAUUCCCCUCCUUGCUGAUCGACAUCCUGGUCCCUUCUUAAUAGCUUGUGUUGUGGACCAUGUGUUAUGUCCUCUUCCAUAAGGUCCAGGUCCUGCCAUUAAUAUAAUUUUGUAAUCGAAUGAAAUAAUCAUUCUUAUAUUGCAGAUUUUUCUUUUGCGAUGAAAGCACGCUGAUAUAUUUAUGUAUUAAUAUUGGUUUAACUAUUGGGUACGGGUGACAUGCUGCAGUAUGUAAAUUUCUUUUGAUAUUGCUUUUGUUGUAAGUAAGAUAUAUACAUAUCUUAGGAAGUAGAAAUCAAGGGUUCAAAUUCCUUUGUCAUUGCAGAUACCAAAUAUAAACUAGUGGAAAGAAAAUGGAGAUGGUACGAUUCGCUUGAUCUUCAGCUUUAUUCAUUACAUCUAUUUCAUGCACUGGAAUCCCUGAACUGACUUCCAUCAAUAAACAACAUAUAUCAGUGCCCAAUGAAAUAGGAAAAUGUAUAUAUUUGUAUAUUUCAUAAACAGAUGUAAACGCAAGGAAAACUGCUAGAGAAUAAUUGAAUAGCUGCUCUUGGAGGAUAGAGAUUACCGUGGUUGGUUGCUACUUGAGUUGUUACCCUGGAGGAAAAUGAGAAUUAGCACAGCUUAGUUGCUCAGUCCAUACACGGCACAAGAAACAUACUCGAGGAAUUUUUAGGUAAUUAUUUGGACCUAUAUGGCCUUUAUGAUUUUUUUUAGUUGGAUGGUGUAAAGGAUAGGAUUAAAAGAUGAAUCAAACUAUUUGAUACUUGAAUUGAGUUCGAUUUGACAAAAGUUCAUUCGAAUUUGGUUCGCCAACCAAUCAAAUCAAGAUUGAAAAGUAUUUUAUAUUCGAGAAUAUUUAAAUUCGAUAAAAACUCGAUUCGACAAUUAAAUAAGUUAUGAUUAAACAAAAUUUCAAACUUGUUAAAAUUACAAAACAAGUUCGAACACUAGAAUAUGAGUGGAGGAAAAUGAAAACUUAGCAAAGGAAAUCUCGUUGUUGUCAGAGGAAAGAAGCAUAGUACUCUCUACUUGAUACAAGCCAAGUUGGAGAAGGGAGAAGUGAAUGUAAUUCGUGAUUCCUAAAUUGACCUUUGGCAUAGACAACUUGGGCUCAUGGGUAAAAAAAGGGAUUCAAACACUUGUUCACAAACAGUUCCUACCUGAAAUUAGAGGUAAUGCACUUAAACCUUGUAUUGACUGUAUUUAUGGGAAACAACAUAGAGUCGCAUUUCAGAAUUGUCCUCCAUCUAGAAAAUUAAAUCCUUUAGAAUUGGUCCAUACUGAUGUUUGCUAUAUGAAGGAUAAGUCCCUUGGUAGUGCUGUUUAUUUUAUGACCUUUAUUGAUGAUUUUGCUAGAAAAGUAUGGUGUUUUGCUUUGAAAACUAAUGAUCAUGUCUUGGAUGUAUUUAAAUACUUUCAUAGCAAGGUUGAGAGGGAGAUGAGCAAACAGUUGCAGUGUGUACAUGCUAUUAAUGCUAGUGAGUAUAGUGGACCAUUUGAAAUUUACUUGAAGUCCUAUAGGAUCAGUUUGGAGAAGACUGUACCAAAAACUCCUCAAGAGAAUGGAAUACCUGAGAGGACGAACAAAUCUAUUAUUGAACUGAUUAGAUGUAUGCUCUCCAAUGCUAAAAUGCUAAAAUCCUUUUGGGGUGAGGCAAUGAGGACUGCAGUUGACUUGAUCAACCUUUCUCCAUCAGUUCCUUUGGAUGGUAAUAUCUUAGAGAGAGUAUCGAUAGGGACCAAUGUGUGCUAUAAGAACUUGAGAGUUUUCAGCUAUUGAGCAUUCGUUCAUGUUCUCAAAGAUGAGAGGUCAAAAUUUGAUAUGAAAUCCAAUUAGUGUAUUUUCUUAGGUUGUGGAAAUAAAGAGUUUGGCUACAGACUGUAUGAUCCUGUUGAGAAAAAGGUGAUCAGGAGUAGAGAUGUUAUCAUCUUGGAAGAUCAAACCAUUGAAACAUAGAGAAAAUGAAAAACCAAGAUCCUCAAAUGACAUUUCUGCCAAUUCAGAUCCAAAUCCAAUUUCAGUAACUGUUGAUUUUGAUCAAAGAGGAGUUGAGAUAGAACGGCGAGAGGAUGUUGAUGAUGGUGAUGAUCCUACAGCUAAUGAACCUGAUCAUAAGGCAUCACCUACUCCAUCACGGCUACCACAAGAUGAGUAUUAAAGAUCUAUCAAAGAGAGAAGACCUUCUAGUAGAUAUAAUCCCCAUAAACAUGUGUUGCUGACAGAUGGAGAGGAACCAAAGUCCUAUACUGAGACUCUAGAGCAUGAGAGAAAAGAAUACUGGUUGCAAGAUAUGCAAGAAGAGAUGAUGUUUUUGCAUGAGAAUCACACUUAUGAUUUAGUAAAACUGCGCAAGGGCAACAGAGCUCUAAAGAACAAUUGGGUCUACAGGUUAAAGAUUCAAGAGCUUUUGAAGGGAUUUAGUCAGAAAAAGGGUGUAGAUUUUGAAGAAAUUUUCUCUCCUGUGAUAAAUAUGUUGUCAAUCUUAGUUGUUAUGGGUAUUAUGGCCAGUUUGAAUUUAAAGAUUUAGCAACUUGAUGUGAAAACAGCCUUCCUACAUGGUGACUUAGAAGAGGAGGUCUACAUGGAGCAAUAGGAGGGUUUAAAGAAAAUGGCAAGAGAAACCUUGUAUGCCAUCUCAAAAGGAGCUUGUACGGUUGAAACAUGCAUCGAGACCGUGGUACAAGAAGUUUGACUCCUUCAUUAUAGAUCGCGAGUACCACAGGGCUAUAUUUGAUCACUAUGUUUAUGUGAAAAAUUUUGUAGAUGGUGAUUUUAUUAUUCUUUGAUUGUAUGUUGAUGAUAUGUUAAUUGCUGGUCGUGAUACUAUGAAGAUUGAUAGGCUAAAAAAGUAGCUAAGUAAAUCCUUUGCAGUAAAGGAUUCGAGUCCGACUAGACAGAUUCUUGGAAUAAAAAUCUCUAGGGACAGACAAAAUGGAAAACUUUGGCUUCUCAGAAAAAGUACAUUGCGAAGGUACUUGAUAUUUAAUAUGAGCAAAGCUAAGGAAGUUUCUUCUCUACUUGCAGGUCACUUCAAACUAAGCAUUAAGCAGUGUCCUACAAGUGAGGAAGACAAAAAAAAACAUGAGAAAAGUUCCUUAUGCAUCGGCUAUUGAUAGUUUGAUGUAUGCUAUGGUUUGCACUAGGCUAAAUAUUGCUCAUGCAGUUGGGGUAGUUAGUUGGUAUCUUUCGAAUCCUAAUAAGGAGCAUUGGAAUGCUGUCAAGUGGAUCCUUAGGUAUCUCAAAGGAACUUACAAGUUAUGUUUAUGUUAUGGUAAUGAUAAAACUAUACUAGAUAGGUAUACCGAUGUAGAUAUGGUAGCUGAUCUCGAUAGCAAGAAGUCUAUAUUUGGGUACUUGAUGAUUUUUACAGAGGAAACAAUGUCCGAAAUGUAUCACCCUCUCAAGUACGGGUAGAGUAUAUUGCAACCGCUGAAGCAUGCAAAAAGACUUUUUGGCUGCAGAAAUUCCUUCGAAAGUUGGGUAUGAAGCAAGAGAAGUAUAGUCUUCACUGUGACAGUCAGAGUACCAUUUAUUUGUGUAAAAAUUUUAUAUUCACUCUCGAUCCAAGCACGUUGACGUAAGGUAUCGUUGGAUUUGAGAAGUACUGAAUUCUAAGUUGUAGAUACUUGAGAAGGUGCAUACAAAUGAUACUGGUAUUGACAUGUUGACCAUGGUCUUGUUUAGGAAGAAUCUCUUGUUUUGUAGAUAGGAAGUAGGUUUGACUAUGCCCUACAAAUGAGUUGGAAGGAGAGAUCGUUGGAUUUGGACUAGCCUAUUUGUGGGUCAAACCACAAAAUAAAUCCAAUUAGGUUGAAGUCAAAUUUGACUUGGAAAGUUUGGCCUUUCUUUCUUAGGAACAAAAGGACAAAAGCUUCUAAGAGGCAGAAAUCAAUCGAGGAAGAAAUAUAGCAGUCGUCACUUUUCUUUCUUGGAAAAAAAUGAUGAGAGAGAAAAGAGUAAAGAAGCUAAAGAGAGAGAAACUUCAAGGUCAGGAUUGGAGGAUGAUUCGAAACCCGAUUGAGACGAAAUUUAUCCACGCGAUCCUCUUGUUAAACACUACUCAUCUACUAGUUUAGAUUUUGGAUUUUCUCUUUAUUUGGUAACAAUCUUCCAAACUCACUUUGUUGACAAUUGUAGUUUUUGGUGAUGAUUUUUAUAGCGAUUUAACUUGGUUAAUAUUGGUGAUGUUAUUGUCAUUUGGAUGUUCUAGACAGACCUGUGUAUUCCCAUUAUUGUGACAAUGGAGAUUUUUUUAUUAAACUAGGUCUCGUGAUUUUUUCCAAUUUGGAUUUUCCAUGUAAAAAUCUUGGUGUCCUAUGUCUUUUAUUUUUCUUGCAUUUUUUUUGUAGAAGCAUAUUAUUUAUCGACAAAACGAAAAAGAACCAGAAUUACAGAGAUUCCCCAACACGCAUUACUAUCUCCUCUUCCCCUUUUAUCCUCCUAACAGAUGACAUGCCUAACUUAUCUAGUCGGAUCUCCCUCCUUGCUAAUUUUGGGAACAUGCUUAUGUGAUCAUAGAUAACACAAGCUUGUUGCUGAUGAGAGACACCCAUAUUGGCUAGAAUAUCCGCCACUCGGUUGGCUUCUCUGAAGCAAUGAGAAACUCUCGCUACGUCCACUACCAACUCCCAGAUUUGCUCUACCUCAUUUCGGAUCUACCACGGGCACUAAAUACGUCGUUGAAGAAUUCCCACCAAUACCUUAGAAUCCAAUUAAAUCUCCACAUUGACGAACCCCUUCUCCACACACAGCUGAAGGCCAGUUAACAAUGCGAGAGCUUCCGCGUGCAAACUCGAUCGUCUUCCAAAGAACGCCGAAAAAGCCAGUAUAGGCCGUCCUAAAGCCUCACGUAAGAUCCCACCACCGCCACUCCAUCCUGGAUUGCCCUUGGAACAUCUAUCCGUAUUCAGCGUUAGACAACCUGUCUUCUUUACCUUCCACCGCACGAGCUGAAAUCUAAUGCCGCCGCCUUGUUGAGCAGACCAUUCAUAUAGCUGAGGGAAUGAGACCAAUCCAAGAUUUUUAUUAAAAUGAAUCUCCAACUCUAAAGUAAUAUUUGAGAUAAUGGCUUGGCAAAUGGUAGUCGUGUGCAUUCGGGUCCCUUCAAACACCGAUUCAUUCCUCACCCUCCAAAUGGGCCGGCAAAUGAAACUAGGCAUCAACGUGAAGAUAAGUCACCUUUUUUCUGAUCUCGGAGGUGACAUUCACCAAGCCGCUACCCUAGCCCUCAGUGAUGACCCUACAUGCGUGAGACCACACAUGCUAGUAAGGUAAUUCCAUAUAUCUUUAGCAAUCUAUCCCUCAGAAAAGACACGUUCCACCGUCUCGCCUGCUCCAUUAGGACAUCACGAACAUUUCGAAGGCAUCUGAAACCCUAUCCUACAUAAAACGUCAGGGAAUAGCAACCUCCCAAGCAACAAGCGCAGCAUGAAGAGGGAUAUUUUCGACGGGAUACGACAGUGCUAGAUUUGAGAGUGAACGAAUGAAGAACUGCGGGCUUGGCGUACCUCCUCGAAAGCCGAUGCCAAUGAGAAUUUGCUAGACGAAGUCAACCUCCAUAUGAUCUCAUUAGCAGCCCUCCCUGAGGGACCGGGUGGAGCAAGACAGCAGGAAUUAGGUCGAGAGGGAGGACUAGAGAGAGCAAAUUGGUACUCCACUUCCCAUUUACAAUGAAGUCUUUGAAAGGGAGGGCUGGGUUCACCAUAGCCUUAAGGAACAACGCGCCACUCCCCAACUAGUUAUCGUACCAAAAAUGACACGAACCCUCCUGGAUCCGUCAGACCAUAGACAGUUCCACUUGCCUACUAACGUUUAGAAUUCUCCUCUAUAUACCCAAGGCGUGCCGACUCAGUUCAACCUGACAUGGGUGAAGAUCUCUACAAUAUUUAGCCCGCAUAAAGCUCACCCAGAGCGACGACCCAGUCCUAAACUGCCACCACAGUUUGUAAGAAAAGGCCGCAUAAACAUCACUUGACCGUCUAAGGCCCACUCCUUCCUCCUUAACUGGAUAACACAAAUGAGACCAGCCAAUCCAAUGAUACUUCAAUCCUUCCUCCGAAGCAUCCCAUAGGAAGUUUGCACAUGCCUUUUCCACCAUUUUGAACAUCGAGGAAGGUAAUACUACAGCUGAUAGCAACUGCACUGGAAUAGACAUCAACACAUGCCCGAUCAAGAAUACCUUUCCCCCCGAAGAGAGAAGCUUUGUUUUCCAGGACAUGAUUCUGUGCAAAAUAGCUUGACCUACUUCCUCAAAAUAUGAUGACUUGCACCGUCCGAUAUAUAAAGAAAAUCCAAGAUAUCGCUAUGGGAAAACUUGUCGUGAAAAUUGCGUGACCCUCUCAAUCAUCCUUCUGCGUGCAGUUGGCAGUGAUGGAUGAACUAAAUAUCCACUUUUUUGAGCAUUCACCAGUUGCCCCGAGAACUGCUGAUAUGCCCCCAAUACUUGCAUAAUGUCUUUUAAUGCAGCGGUAGACCCAUUAUUUUUCUUGCAUUUUGUUAUUAUUGUUGGCAUUAUUAUUUGGUGAUUUGAGUCAUUCCUAUUUUAACUAGUACUUGGGAAAAGAGUAAUUUGUCCUAGGCUAACUCUAAUAUUGUAUGCUUGCACCGGUACCCCUUUCCCAACAUAAUCAAAUAAGUGUAAAUAGGUAAAUAACUAUGGAAUGCCAAGAAAUUGCAAGAUGGAGGGAAAAAACAAUCAGUAUUUGGUGAACAUUAUGUUAAUGCAACAGUAAAAUUGUCAAAGAAAUUAAAAGAAAACUGAUCAAUUACAUUAAAUUUGUUAAUUGAAACUUGAAAGUUCAUGACAUGUAGACAUCAAUUAUUCUGCUCCAUGCUCCUCCUUUGGUGACCAAGUACAAUUUUUUUUGGAACAGUGAAAUUUUAAGUUGUUAAGAAACCCGAAAAAAGGAACUUGGAAGUACACUGUUACCGGAAAAAAAUGUUGGCCUGGUUUACACAGGAAUAUACAAUCUAGCUUAAAUGUAGUGAGCAUAUACGUUUGUUAGUUAGAACUGGUAGCUUUUCUAAUAAUUAAUGUUGUUAAUAAAUUAAAUCCUAAGAAUUGUUUAGAAUUAUUUAAUUGGCAAGAGAAAUAAUCACAGAUCUUGUUGUAAUUAUCGAAGAAGUAAGGAAGGAUAGGUUAUUAGAAUUUGUUGACAACCAUAACCAAUUUAUUUAUAAAUAAUUGAUUUAUAUCUUUGCAUUGAUGAUUAGUAAAUGAACCAAACUGGUGAUUAAACCUAUGACUAGAGGCUUGUUUCAUAUUGGUUUAUUUUUACUUAAUUUUGCAUUAUUAUUUUUCGUCGAUUAAAUUACGUAGAUUAAUUUUUUUCCAAAAUCCCCCAUCUUAUUUAUUGUUAUUUUUAUAAGAAAUAAAUCAUCCAAUCCUGAGAAUAAGACCCUACUCACAACUAUACUUGAAUUUACAUUUUUUGGAGGGGGAAUUUUUAUAUUUGCUGGUUUGAAACCCAACACCAAUUCUACAAAUGUCGGUAAAAAUGAUUGACAUUGUAGUUGAAGACAACGACUAAGGACAUGGGCAUGUGUGUCCAGGGCUAAGUCGUACUCCCAUUCUGCAUGGCUAGUGUGGAGGAAUACAACAUUAUUGUUUUCAUAUGAUUUUAGAAGCUUCUGCAUGUUAUUCUAUAUUAAGAAGCCUAGCUAUAAGGGAAAUUUUGGGAAACUAAAAUUUGGUCACCGAAAUUUGUAAAGUUCUCCCAAGGUUAAGUUGGAAUUCUGUUUUUGUUUUGUUUUUGUUUUUGGGCCUUCUUCACCACAAAAUUCCUGCUCAAAUGGUAUUUGAUUGAUUAAGGGGAGACUGAAUGCCAUUUUCUCAGACUGCUAGCUCAGAUUGGUAACCACCAGACCAGUACUAAUUUUGCUGUAUUAUUACACAUCGUGGUUUAUUGCCAUGAUUUUAAAUGGGGCCGAUUAAGAAUUGGAGCUCUGUGUAUUCAUUUCCACUGCCAUGAUGGAAAACAUGAGACAAAUGGUGAUUGGAGAACAGGAAGUUCAGCAAAACCAUUUCUACGAAAAUGGUUGGAUUUCCAACCCGCCCAACAACAAAAAAAAUAAACGAAGUAUAUCUAUAAACUCUAACAGGGCACAGCGUUUUAUUUAUUUAAUACCUGGGGUGCAUUUUACUGGUACAAAUGCACCUUUUUCAACAUCUCAGCAUUACAUAUGAAACAUCCAUACAUAAUUUAGCACAAUGGUAGAUACUUAAUAUAGCAUACAUAAUCUUCAGUCCUUGUUCUCAGUAACUCAUGGCGACUCUUCAAAUUGUAAGAGUUGCUGGCACCCAGUGUUGUAUUCUAUAAUCACUGCGUUGUAGCUGCCCAACUUGCCUGUGCUAUUCUUAGCUGAAAUAAGGAGGCAGUAGGUGGAACGAUCGUCCUCGGUUUUCUUUAUGCCAGAAAGCACGGCCACAAACACCAGCUGGUUCUUGGUCUGCUUGUUGUGCUCAUCCACUGCAAACGCUCCGAGCGCUUGAAUGUGACGGUCGAGAGUGCUCACUACAGUCCAAUCAUCAGGCACAGCAGCAUUGCCCUGCAAAAGUGUCAACCGAAAAACUUGAGACUAUAUAAUUCUAGAUCCCAAAUAUUGGAGCACUUGGCAGAAACUCAAUCUAACAAAAUUAAGAAUCAAAUCUUCCCCUCCCGUUCAAAAAAAGUAAAAGACUGACACGUGGAGAUUGAAAGUUGAGGAGUUACAUUUAUCGAACCUUGCAACAAGGUUGAAGGAAUUUUAUUGUAAUAUAGCAAUAUCCUAGAAUCUAGUCAAAACCACAGACAAAACCAGUCUAGGGGUAUUAUUAAUUCACCUGUCCUUGCUUCUGUCCUGCUAAUUGCUUCAGUGCACCAACGACGAGGGCAGGCUUCAAUCCCUGCACUGAUUUCCAUUAAGAAACAGACAUUUCAGUACGAAGAAAAUAUAAACGCUGCACAUUCAUUUUAUGGGGAAAUAGAUAAAUGCAUGCAUGCAAAACGCAGAGAAUAAAACAUACUCGGGUUUUUUGCCACACCGGCCACUGGGAAGUUGGCUGCCACUGCUGCCAUAUUUUUACGCAAAGAGUAAUGAGAAACAGAUUAUUGCACUUGGUUGCGAUUGGCGAAGCUCGCUUGCUGAGUAUGAAUGUACGAAAGAAUUGAACCAACUCCAAGAAUUUAUAGCCGAUCUUGUGGACCUAAAUGUCCUCUAUGCCCUUCGUCGGAAAUUGGUAAUCAAUACUUCCAGAAUCAUUCGUUAUUUCUGCUUUUAACUUUAGGAAAAUUUAGAACUUUGAUUGAGUCUGCGUUUAUGGAGCCAAAAAAUAAAUUAUUUCAUCAUUUACCGCGCACAGCAUUGAGCGUAUAAUUGUCUCACUUUCUCUAUUUUUAUUCAAGUGAUUACUAUAUAUAUAUAUAUACUAUAUAUAUAUUUGAUGAUAUUAUUGUCAUUAGUCACUAAGACAAUGAUAUGGGGUCUUUUUAAUCGUCCACGUCUUGAGGUUAGAUGGAAAGCAUGAAGUCCUUUUUUAAAAUAGGCAUUCACUUGGGAAUCAUUUCCCUCUUGUGAAAUGGACAUUCACUUAGGAAUCAUAUCACAAUUUCAGUAAAAACCAGGGAAUUUCCCGUUCUGUGGGAUGAGAGGUAUAUGCCAAAGCAAGACUCUUUAUCCCGUUCCCAGUCAAGGUUUGCCGCUUGUCUUAAGAUGCCUUAUCCAUCGACUUAAAAGGGGGCAUGGUACAUUUCCUUGCGAAAUGUCUUUAGUAUGAACUGAUCCUUUUUUUAUAGUAAAUAACUCUUCUUUUCCGUAUUUCUCAAUCCUUAAGUAGUUCCCAUAUUUCUUUUUCUUGAUUUUCCAGCCUAGAAAUUUCCAUUUGUUAAAAUCCUCUUUCUCUUUCCUGCACCGUUAAAUCCCACCUCUUGACUACCAGUUUUUUUUUUUUUUUUUUUUUUUUUUUAAAGAUAUGUGCAUAAGGCAUUUUUUUUUUAUUGACAAGGGAACCAUAGCCACUAUCCGAGAAUGCGUACUGGGUUCCUCCCUGUGUAAUAACUCGCCAAUCACAUAGAGAGAUAAUACAUACUAAACAAGACUGGUGGGACGGACAGAUAUCCCAAGAAAGAUUCGAAUUUGGAUUGACAGGGAGGCAUGAUACUAAUUCUACUAUCUCGACUGACUCAAUGGAGGAAAAAGUAAGGCGUGUUUACUGAAGAAAAAGUAAAAAGUUAGUUAUCCUACCAAUGUGCUUUAUUUUCUUUUGAGAGAUAUGAAACAAUACGAAAUAAUAGAUUUUUUUUUUGUUUCUGACUUCAUUUAAACCUCAUCCACCUGUUAAAUUUAAACUCAAAAUAUUGAAGUUUGAGUGAUAAAUCUAGGUCCACUGUUCCAGUGCAUGUCAUCAUUAUUGGUGUCAUUCUUUUGUCAAAAAUUAUUUGGAUAAAGCAAUGUACAGAGUACGCACAUUUUUAAUCGUCCACGGCUUGAGAUUCCUCGGCAGCUUAGAUAGAAAGCAACAAGCCCUUUCUUGAAACAGGCAUUCACUUGGGAAUCAUAUCCCUCCUGUGAAAUGGACAUUCACUUAGGAAUCACGUCACAAUUUUAGCCAAAAACAGGGAAUUUCCAGUUACGUGGGAUGAGAGGUAUAUGCCAAAGCAAGACUCCUUAUCCCGUUCCCAGUCUAGGUUGCCCUGUUUGCCACUUGUCCUAAGAUGCCCUAUCCAUUUACUUAAAAGAGUGCCUUGUACAUUUCCUUGCGAAAUGUCUUUAGUAUGAACUAAUUCUUUUUUAUAGUAAAUAUCUAUUAAACCCAGCCCAAAAAGGAACCUAUGAAGGACAGAAGGAGGUAAGUCAACAGAUCAUUGGUUUAACUAGUGGGUGAGUGGCUGAACCAGUAGAUUACUAAAUAUAUUUAAAUAUUAUGUUUCAUAAUUUUUGAUAUAAGAUAUAUGAUAUAGAUUGUAAUAAAAAAUACCAUAGCAAAUGCUCAUUUAAUUUAAUUCACUCUAGAAUGAUUAAUUCAUAUAAGAAUCCGUAAAACAUAAAGUUAUUUAGUAAUCCACUAAAAUUCAAGCGUAAAAUGUUAUCUAUGUGUGAUGUAAUUAUCUAGCUUAUCUACGAAUUGUAAGUGUAAAAAAUUAUUAAAAACAAUUUUUUUCUUGAAAAUAAAUUACGUAAUAUGUUAUUUUUGAAAUUCAUUUUAUAACUUAUAGAGUUUGGGUGUCAUAAGGUUUUAUUAAAAGAUUUCAAAUAAAUUUGUUUUAGGAAAAUAAAAAAAAGAAUAAAUAUAGAAUUGACCAAACGUUCAUAUAUUAUAAGAAAAUUACUCAACUAACAUAUGACAAGAUGUCUGGUGGUGAGUAUAUUAUAGAUAUAUACCAAAGGUCUCAAGUCCGAAUCUUAGCAUGAACUUACUAAAAUGUUUUCCACAAAAUCGGCUCAUUGACAAAACCGGUUAGGUUCUUGGUUUAGUCCAUUUGAAUCGUCGGAUCUUUGACCAAUUAAUGGGUUGUAUGUUUAAAUGAUCUAAUUAAAAACCCAACCCAAUGGUCGGUUCAUCGGGUAGACAGAUUCGACCGCCAAGCCGAGCCGGAUUUAAUAAUUAUGGUAAAUAAAUUUUUCCCUUACAUAUUUCUUAAUCCUUAAGUAGUUCCCAUAUUUCUUUUUCUUGUUUUUCCAGCCUCGAAAUUUCCAUUUGUUAUAUUUGAUGCAUGCAAUUUCUGCCAUUAAUAUAUUUUAUAAACGAAUGAAAUGAUCAUCCUUGUUUUGCAGAAUUUUCGAUGAUCAUAGCACGCUGACAUCUAUAUGUAUUAAUAUUGGUUUAACUAUUGCUGACAUGCUGCACUAUGUGAAUUCUUUUUUUGUUAUAGCUUUUGGUGUAAGUAAGAUAUAUACAAAUCCUAGGACUUAGAAAUCUAGGGUUGAAAUCCUCUUUCUCUUUCCUGCACCGUUAAAUCCCAACCCUUGACUACUAGUUUUUUUUUUUUUUUUUUUUUAAAAGAUAUGUGCAUAAGACAUGUUUACUGGGGAAAAAGUAAAAAGUACGUUAUCCUACCAAUGUGCUUUAUUUUCUUUUUUUUUUUUUUUGAGAGAGAUAUGAAACAAUACGAAAUAAUAGGUGUUUUUUUUUGUUUCUAACUUCAUAUAAACCUCAUCCACCUAUUAAAUUUAAACUCAAAAUUGAAGUUUGAGUUAUAAAUAUAGGUCUACUGUUCCAGUGCAUGUCAUCAUUAUAGGUGUCAUUCUUUUGCCCAAACGGGAUCACUUGGGAAUCAUAUCCCGCUUGUGAAAUGGACGUUCAGUCAGGAAUCAUAUCACAAUUUUAGCAAAAACCAGGGAGUUUCCAGUUCUGUGGGAUGAGAGGUGAAUGCCAAGGCGAGAUCUUUAUCCUGUUCCCAGUCUAGGUUUGCCCUGCUUGCUGCUUAUCCUAAGAUGCCCUAUCCAUUGACCUAGAAGAAGUAUAUGCCAAGUUGGUUCAUUUCCUUGCGAAAGGAACUUGGAAUUAGUACUGUUUACAGAACAAAAUGCUGGCCUGGUUUACUUGGAUGAAGUACUUUAUCGAUGCCGUCCACGUUUUCAGGUUCCUCGCUAGCUUAAUUUGAAAGCGUGGAGCGCUUUUGUGAAAUAGACAUCCAUUUAGAAACAAAUGCUGGCGAGAUAAAGAGGUAUAUGCAAAAGUGCAGGAUUGCUGUCCUCUGCCAAUUCUAAAUAGUUUCUUCUGUUUACGGCUUCUCUUGAAUCUCAUUGGCAAUUUUUGAUUAAGUGUUCUUAAUACUUGAUAGCUUCUCUGUGGUUAAUUUGAAACAUGAAAUGGAUCAUUUUUAACUGCCUUUAUCAUCAAUUGAUGCCUUCCUCCAGUACUAAGGAAUUCAAUUUGAGAGAACGAAAUACAUAUGCAUAUAAUUUUUUUUUUUUUGGGGUCAGAUAUAAAAUCCCAUAAAAUUUUUAGGGUACAAAUAAAUUAAAAUACAUAAGAGGUUUUCAAAUUUCUCAAAAUCUUGAGGAGGAAAAAAUAUAAAUUUCUGGAACUUGGUGUGGUGGCCCUUCCCUCCCUCCCCCGUUCCAUCCUUGCUUUAUUGUACUAGCACAGAAAACUUCCCUUUCAAAUUUCGUAAGCCUUAAUUAAUUGUGUUUUUUUAUUGUUCUUACCAUGAAUUAUUGAUUACAUUGAUUGCCUUAAUUGUGCUUGAAUAUUUGAUUGCGAAAUAUUCAUCGUCUGUAGCCUUAGGGAAAUUUAGAACUUUGAUUACAAUAUUUAGAUGCAUUAGAUGUAUAAUUGUGUCACUUUCUCUAUUUUCAUUCAACUGAUCAAUAUAUACAUGUAUUUGAUGAUAUUAUUGUCAUUAUUCACUAAGACAGUAAUAAGAGUUCUUUUUUUUUUUUAACUAUAUUAUAUGUGUCACCAUUUUAAGGAACGGAGGAAAAGGAUAUUGGUGGAACAAUAGAGAUGGUUUUUCUGGUGACUUCACCAUGUAGGCCAAUGCUUCUUCUAAUACAUGCUACGUGUAUAUGUUAAAUGGAGUGCUAGCUGUCUGUGUUUCUAUGUGUAUAAGUUUUUACAAGUGUAUAUAAACACAUUAUUAUAUGUGUUUCUGGUGACUUAUUUAUCGUUUUCACUUGGGAAACAUAUCCCUCUUGUGAAAUGGACAUUCACCCAGGAAUCAUAUUACAAUUUAGCUAGAAACAAGGGAAUAUCCAGUUCUGUGGGAUGAUAAUAUAUACAUGCCAAAGUCAGAAUCUUUAUCCUGUUUCCAGUCUAAGUUUGUCCUCUUUGUUGCUUAUCGAAGGUGCCCUAUCCAUUGACUUAAAAGAAGGCAUGGUUCAUUUCCUUCCUUUGUUUUCAAAAACUACUUAAUUUUCAUUUUGGAUAACUUCAUCAUUUGAAGUAAUAAAUGUAAUUUCUUCAUAAAUUUAGGGGGCAAUUUAAUGGAAGAAAGAAAAUAUAAGAAAUUUCAAGGUGUUGCAAAUGCAAGCCAAGAUUAAAAAUUCUAAAGCUUUUCAAGCCAAUGUAGGAAUUUGUCACAGUUGACUAGGGGCAAUUGCCCAUCCUCAAUUCAACAUAUAUGGCUCUGCCCAUGUUCCAUGAUAACGUGAAAUUCCCAACGUUCGAAGUAGUCUAAACAAAAAACAAAUGGUGAUUGGAAAACAUGAAACAAAUGGUGUUUGGAUAACAAGAAGUAAAACCAUUUCUACGAAAAUGGUGGGAUUCCCACGGGUUUUCAUGAGAAUCAAUGGCGAAGCGAAGUAUAUAAUGUACUCCAACAGGGUACAAUGUUUUAUUUAUUUAAUAUAUCGGUGCAUUGUGCUGGCAGAAACGCACCUUUUUCAACAUCUCAGCAUUACAUCUGAAACAUCCAUACUUAUUUUAGCACACUAUCGAUAAUACAAUACAUAAUCCUCAGUCCUUGUUCUCAGUUCACGGGCGGCACCACUUCCCCGAAGUAUAAGAGUUUCUUCAUCUCCAAAUCAGUUUCUUGAACCAGUGCUUUGUAGAUAUUUUGAUUGCCGUCGCUAUCCUUAGCUUCAAUUAUGAGCCAGUAGAGAGUGGCUAAUUCAACGGGUUUCUUUAAGCCGGCAACCACUGCCACAAACACCAGCUUGUCUCCGGUCUGCUUGUUGUGCUCAUCCACUGCAAAUCUUCCGAGCUCUUGAAUGUGAGGGUCUGCAGGGUUCACUGGAGUCCAGCCACCAUGCACAAUUAAUUUGGUCUGCAAGGUGUAAAACAAAAAGCUUCAGAAUAAUUUUAGAUCCGAAUAAUCCGAACACUUGGCAGAAACUCAAUCAAACAAAAUUAAGAAGCAAAUCUUCCUCUCCCAUAAGAAAAAGGGUAAAAGACUGACAAGCAGAGAUUGAAAGUUUAGGAGUUACAAUUAUAGAACCUCGUAACAAGGUUGAAGGAAUUUUAAUGUAAUUUAGCAAUAUCCUAGAAUCUAGUCAAAACAAUAGACAAAACAGUCAAGGUAAAUUAGAUCUAGGAUUAUCAAUAGUUCACCUCUCCAGCUUGCUUCAGUAUAGCAUCGACUUCGGCAGACUGGAAUUGCUUAACUGAUUUCCAUUAAGAAACGAACAUUUCAGUAUGAAGAAAAUAUAAAUGCCGAAUAUUAGGAAAAUAGAUAUAAAUGCAUGGAUGCAAAACGCAGAGGCUGAAACUUACCGUAGUUGUUUGCCAAUUCCGUUUUUUGGCACUUGGCUGUCACAGCCAUUGGAAAGUUGGCAGCCACUGUAGCCGUAUUUUUACACACAGAGUAAGGAGAACAGAUUAUUGCUCUUGGUUGCGAUAGGCAAAGCUCGAUUACUGAGUAUGAAUGU
rnacentral:lncRNA from 1 species